rnacentral:rRNA from 1 species
GUACACGCUGUGACUAGCAUAUCAAUAAGCGGAGGAAAAGAAACUAACAAGGAUUCCCUUAGUAACGGCGAGUGAAGCGGGAAGAGCUCAAAUUUGAAAUCUUCAAGGUUUUACCUUGACGAAUUGUAGUUUAAAGAAGUGUUUUCUGCUGAAGUUUUGGUAUAAGUUCUUUGGAAUAGGACAUCAUAGAGGGUGAGAAUCCCGUAUUUGACCAUUAUUUUCAGCUUUGUGAUACACUUUCAAAGAGUCGGAUUGUUUGGGAAUGCAGUCCAAAAUGGGUGGUAAAUUUCAUCUAAAGCUAAAUAUUGGCGAGAGACCGAUAGCGAACAAGUACCGUGAGGGAAAGAUGAAAAGAACUUUGAAAAGAGAGUUAAACAGUACGUGAAAUUGUCAAAAGGGAAGCGUUUGACACCAGUGUUGUUUUCUCGAAAAUCAAUUAAAAAUGGCUCGAUUUUGUAUUGCUGAGACCUUAAAAGCUCACUGUACAUUUUUCGUGUCUUUUUUAAUGCACUUUUCGUUUAACAAGUCAACAUCAGUUUCCUUUGUUGUAAAAGGGUCAUUGGAAGGUGGCUUUCUUUUCGGAGAAAGUGUUUAUAGCCUUUGGCCUCUGCAAUCGGAAGAGACUGAGGUCUGCAGCGUAGACUCUUCGGGGUUAGAUACAUUUGUGCUAAGUUAUAGCUUUUUAUAGACAACUUGUUGACUAUAAUUAGUCUUGUAGCUUACUCGCUUAUGCUAUUUUACCUACGCUUAGGAUGUUGAGUAGCGACAUACGCAC